rnacentral:tRNA from 1 species
GCGGUGGUCGUCCAACGGCCAGGAUUCCCGGUUCCAACCCGGGUGAUGAGGGUUCGAGUCCUUCCCACCGUG